AGCGAACGCUGGCGGCAGGCUUAACACAUGCAAGUCGAGCGGGCGUAGCAAUACGUCAGCGGCAGACGGGUGAGUAACGCGUGGGAACGUACCUUUUGGUUCGGAACAACACAGGGAAACUUGUGCUAAUACCGGAUAAGCCCUUACGGGGAAAGAUUUAUCGCCGAAAGAUCGGCCCGCGUCUGAUUAGCUAGUUGGUGAGGUAACGGCUCACCAAGGCGACGAUCAGUAGCUGGUCUGAGAGGAUGAUCAGCCACAUGGGGACUGAGACACGGCCCAAACUCCUACGGGAGGCAGCAGUGGGGAAUAUUGGACAAUGGGCGCAAGCCUGAUCCAGCCAUGCCGCGUGAGUGAUGAAGGCCCUAGGGUUGUAAAGCUCUUUUGUGCGGGAAGAUAAUGACGGUACCGCAAGAAUAAGCCCCGGCUAACUUCGUGCCAGCAGCCGCCGUAA
rnacentral:rRNA from 1 species